AACUUUUAGGAAUGCUAAGAUAUUUAGUCUGUAUGUGGUCACUUGGGCUAGAUGGAGCGAGUAGUGAAACCGAUCCGCACUU
rnacentral:ncRNA from 2 species